rnacentral:lncRNA from 1 species
AGGAGCAUAGAAUUUUAAAUAUUAUUUACUUAGCUGUCUUUAAAUAAAAAUUAUUUUAGAUCUUUGUUGGAUCUUUGUUUUAUUUCUUAUUAGCCUUCAAGAAUUUAUCUUUCUAUUGAAUAAAAAUAUUAGUGAAUUUACUUUUACCACUGUCUAAGUUAUAUUGAUGUGAUUGUAUAUUGAUAAUAAAAAGACAAGCCUUGCAUAUUCGAUGGGAUUAAUCCUAAGGAUGUGUGGUCGUCUGUCGUGCAUAUGGCUUAGGCUUUAG